rnacentral:pre_miRNA from 1 species
AUUCUACUCCCUCCGUUCCACAAUACAUGCCUUCUAUUUGUCAAAAUAUAGAUGUAUCUAGACAUGUUUUAGUAUAUAGGUACAUCCAUUCUUGGAUAAAUGGAAGUCAAGUAUUUUGGAACGGAGGGAGUACAUA